AAGAUUAUUUUUAAAUCCACUGAGUUACAUGAAGUUUGUAUGUAUUUAUUUCAUAAAACGUAUUGUUCAGUGUCUGUAACAUCACAGACUUCUUUCCCACUUAUUUUCUCAGCACUCUCCUCGUGUGUUUGCAGCUGUUUGGUUGUGCUCACUGCCACCACUCCUGUAACAUGGCUGGUGCUUUAAAGCAACACUACAAAAUGAAGCACCCAGAUGAGACGGAUGAGAACGCUGCGCCUGAACUGCACAACUCCCACUCUCUGGAACAACAAGGUCCUGCCUCUGCUCUCUGCUCUCCCCCUGCAGUGUCAGAGCAUUGAUCGGCUUGUUUCAUGAACAUUUUCCUGCACAAUAAGCGUCUUUUAAUUUGCUCACAAACACGUCCACAAGUGUGUGUACCCCACCGGAGAGGGUACACCACAACAGCUGAAACAUCCUGAAGUCUGUCGUGAAGCAGCUCCAAUUAAUAAUGAGUUCCUGAGAUGUAAUUUAAAGCUGCGCGUGAUUAAAGUCUAAAAGCUGAAUAAACACGUGAUUAAUCGGC